rnacentral:rRNA from 1 species
AAAAAAGGUAAGCUACUAAGAGCGAAUGGUGGAUGCCUUGACUGGUAAAGGCGAUGAAGGACGUACUAGACUGCGAUAAGCUACGGGGAGCUGUCAAGAAGCUUUGAUCCGUAGAUUUCCGAAUGGGGCAACCCAAUGUAUAGAGAUAUACAUUACCUAUAUAGGAGCGAACGAGGGGAAUUGAAACAUCUUAGUACCCUCAGGAAAAGAAAUCAAUAGAGAUUGUGUCAGUAGCGGCGAGCGAAAGCGCAAGAGGGCAAACCCAGUGCUUGCACUGGGGGUUGUAGGACUGCAAUGUGCAAGAGCUGAGUUUAGCAGAACAUUCUGGAAAGUAUAGCCAUAGAGGGUGAUAGUCCCGUAUGCGAAAAACAAAGCUUAGCUAGCAGUAUCCUGAGUAGGGCGGGACACGAGGAAUCCUGUCUGAAUCCGGGUCGACCACGAUCCAACCCUAAAUACUAAUACCAGAUCGAUAGUGCACAAGUACCGUGAGGGAAAGGUGAAAAGAACUGAGGUGAUCAGAGUGAAAUAGAACCUGAAACCAUUUGCUUACAAUCAUUCAGAGCACUAUGUAGCAAUACAGUGUGAUGGACUGCCUUUUGCAUAAUGAGCCUGCGAGUUGUGGUGUCUGGCAAGGUUAAGCAAACGCGAAGCCGUAGCGAAAGCGAGUCUGAAUAGGGCGCUUAGUCAGAUGCUGCAGACCCGAAACGAAGUGAUCUAUCCAUGAGCAAGUUGAAGCUAGUGUAAGAACUAGUGGAGGACUGAACCCAUAGGCGUUGAAAAGCCCCGGGAUGACUUGUGGAUAGGGGUGAAAGGCCAAUCAAACUUCGUGAUAGCUGGUUCUCUCCGAAAUAUAUUUAGGUAUAGCGUUGUGUCGUAAUAUAAGGGGGUAGAGCACUGAAUGGGCUAGGGCAUACACCAAUGUACCAAACCCUAUCAAACUCCGAAUACCUUAUAUGUAAUCACAGCAGUCAGGCGGCGAGUGAUAAAAUCCGUCGUCAAGAGGGAAACAACCCAGACUACCAGCUAAGGUCCCUAAAUCUUACUUAAGUGGAAAACGAUGUGAAGUUACUUAAACAACCAGGAGGUUGGCUUAGAAGCAGCCAUCCUUUAAAGAAAGCGUAAUAGCUCACUGGUCUAGUGAUUUUGCGCGGAAAAUAUAACGGGGCUAAAGUAAGUACCGAAGCUGUAGACUUGCGCACAACUUAGAUUAUUUAAGUUUAGAAUAUGAGAAACUAAGUUAUAUUUUUACUGAUUUUUAUAGAGUAAAGAUAGAAAUAAAACUUAGUAAAAUCAGUAAAAAUAUUCUUAGGCUAAAGUUAAGUAGUUUAAGUUGUGUGCAAGUGGUAGGAGAGCGUUCUAUUUGCGUCGAAGGUAUACCGGUAAGGAGUGCUGGAGCGAAUAGAAGUGAGCAUGCAGGCAUGAGUAGCGAUAAUUAAUGUGAGAAUCAUUAACGCCGUAAACCCAAGGUUUCCUACGCGAUGCUCGUCAUCGUAGGGUUAGUCGGGUCCUAAGUCGAGUCCGAAAGGGGUAGACGAUGGCAAAUUGGUUAAUAUUCCAAUACCAACAUUAGUGUGCGAUGGAAGGACGCUUAGGGCUAAGGGGGCUAGCGGAUGGAAGUGCUAGUCUAAGGUCGUAGGAGGUUAUACAGGCAAAUCCGUAUAACAAUACUCCGAGAACUGAAAGGCUUUUUGAAGUCUUCGGAUGGAUAGAAGAACCCCUGAUGCCGUCGAGCCAAGAAAAGUUUCUAAGUUUAGCUAAUGUUGCCCGUACCGUAAACCGACACAGGUGGGUGGGAUGAGUAUUCUAAGGCGCGUGGAAGAACUCUCUUUAAGGAACUCUGCAAAAUAGCACCGUAUCUUCGGUAUAAGGUGUGGUUAGCUUUGU